rnacentral:rRNA from 1 species
AUUGAACGCUGGCGGCGAGCCUAACACAUGCAAGUCGAACGAGUGGCGGACGGGUGAGUAAUGUCUGGGAAACUGCCUGAUGGAGGGGGAUAACUACUGGAAACGGUAGCUAAUACCGCAUACCAUCGGAUGUGCCCAGGGGGGAUUAGCUAGUGGGUGGGGUAAAGGCUCACCUAGGCGACGAUCCCUAGCUGGGCUGAGAGGAUGACCAGCCACACUGGAACUGAGACACGGUCCAGACUCCUACGGGAGGCAGCAGUGGGGAAUAUUGCACAAUGGGCGCAAGCCUGAUGGAGCAAUGCCGCGUGUAUGAAGAAGGCCUUCGGGUUGUAAAGUACUUUCAGCGGGGAGGCGGUACCCGCCGAAGAAGCCCCGGCUAACUCCGUGCCAGCAGCCGCGGUAAUAC